GAGUUUGAUCGUGGCUCAGGAUGAACGCUGGCGGCGUGCUUAACACAUGCAAGUCGAGCGAAGCGCUUUGAAGUUUUCGGACGGAGAAGUGACUGAGCGGCGGACGGGUGAGUAACGCGUGGGUAACCUGCCUCGUACAGGGGGAUAACAGUUAGAAAUGACUGCUAAUACCGCAUAAGCGCACAGUACCGCAUGGUACGGUGCGAAAAACUCCGGUGGUAUGAGAUGGACCCGCGUCUGAUUAGGUAGUUGGCGGGUAA
rnacentral:rRNA from 1 species